rnacentral:lncRNA from 1 species
CGCCCUUUGUUUAUUGACACUUUGAAACUUGAUGAAUUCAGCGAUUUCAAAACAGCAAAGAGAAUGAAAGUUUUCGUAGUUUUAUGUAUCAUUAUGGUAAGACUUUAUACCCCGAAUGUAAAACACUAUCAGCUUCUAACUCACAGAAUUCAUAAAACAGUUCCAAAACAGUUCGUCAGUUGAUAAUUUAGGGGGGAGAUGAAGCAUUGCACUUGUUUCUGUAACCGCAACUAAUUAUCUACUCCAAAUAAUUAUGACGUCUUGGAAGGAUAUUUUAAAUUUUUGCUUUGACGCCUUCCUGUGACGCAGAAGGCGUCAAAGCAAAAGGGUAAAUGUUGAUUACUUGUCUCUCCUCUUGGUUACAGGUAGUCGUAGGAAAGCGUCCCAGUAAAAAAAUAAAAUAGCCUUGCCAGACAUUUGGACUAGGUUACAGGUAGCUUCUAAAGACAAUACAGCUUAUCUUUCUUGAGGGGGGAUAGGACCUUUAUCGGGACUCCGGGAUCGGGAAUUUUUAAGCUCAGGAUUUCGGGAUUGACCCUUCCAGGAUCCGGGAAUUCUUUUUUUCGAAUUUCGGGACCUCGGAAUUUCGUGUUUUUAAGCCCGGGAAUUCGGGAUCUGGUGUUUUUAAGCCCAGGAUUUUGGGAUCAGGACCCCUCCUACCAUCCCUCUCUAUUUGUCCGCCAUUACUGGAUAUCAUACAGGUUUCCGUAAAAAUUUGACGUCAUAAAACAAAAUAUCUGAGGCCACAAUGGAAAAAGGAUUGUUGUAUACAUCAAAAGUUCAAGCGGCCGAUUCAGCCAGGAUAAGCAAUAUGGUGCAUCAAGUUCACAUACUUUAAUGAUGUUAUAAAGACAAAUCUACAUGUCAGUAUUUAAUACAAAUACACAUUAAAUCAUCACUUCACCUUAUUAACCACUAAUAUGAGGCAGGCAUUACCUGUAAAUGGGGACGAAGUCUGUAUGAAUUAUUUUUUGGUAUAAACUUAAAAAUAUUUGUUAAAAAAAAGAAACGGAAAUACCGUAAAGUUUCCAAUUUUGGUUCUGUUGUUCAGGGAUUUUAGUUGUGAUGUUAUUUAGGUUAUGACGUCAUAGAUAUGCAAUGUUAACAAAGAAACGCUAUCAUCAGGUAACCUUUUUUCAUAUCAAGGAAUUAUCAAAAAUGAAAUUGGUAACGGUUCCUUCCUACAUGUAUUUCAUACUAGACUGAUAAAUAUAUAUUUUACUCAAAGUUUCAUACAAACGAGACCGGAAAAAGGAAGUACAUUGUAGAUUUCAGUGCAGAUGCGGGAAUUCAAAACAUGACAUAAAUUUUUUUUUCCCGAUUUUGAGUUUAUUAGUACAAUGAAAAUUCCCGAUUUUUUUUCUAUUUUUGUUGUUGAUUUUUCUACUGUUAUUGGGGACUUUGUCCCCAUAUAAUAAUAAAUUGGGCAAAAUUACAGUCUGCACCGUUACCCACUAGUCCGAUGCCCCAGACUAGUAAAUAUUAAUUCGAACUGGUCAAAAUUUUCUAUAGUCAUAUAGGGACAAGUUUUGAUAUUUAGUGUCUGGACUAGUAGAUGAAAAAGUUUUUGGUGCAGACUGAAAUUAUCUCCCCUCUUCUUAAUAAAUAAUAUUGAAAAACCUUAAUUUUCUACUUACUUAACAUUAGUUAACUUUACUUGUUUUAUAAAAUAAACGGGCUACUUAAUUUUAUAUGGGAAAGGGAAAAACCAGAUGUGAAAGCUUGACAGUUUCAAAUAUUUAGCUUUAAGUUUUGUAUUCAAACAAGCCAAAAUUGUAAGCCGUAACUAAAACAUCUGCCAAAUUGCAUAUAUAGUUGAAGCUGGCUAGGAGGAAAAUAGUCCUAAUUAAUAGGAACCUACAUGUACCUUGUGAAUCUAUUACAGACAAGUGGCUCUUGCAUAAAAAGCAAUAAUUUAAAGUAUGAGUAGGCCUGAACCCUUUCCUACAUCAAAAUUUUUGUUUUGCAUAGGAUUUUUCAACAAAAUAUUGAAAAUAUGCUUUGAAGUAUUAAUGCAUUGCGAAAAACAAAUAUUCCAUCAAAUAAAUUUUAGUCGGAUAGUCUUAUGAAUAAUCUUUUCAUCACCAAAACUCAAUUUUGUCAUGAAUCCAUCUGUGUCCAUUGUUUAAUAUUCACAUAGACCAAGGUGAGCGACACAGGCUCUUUAGAGCCUCUAGUUCAUAAAUCUAAGUAAUCUUUUACAAAAAUCUUCUCCUCUGAAAUUACUGCGCCAAAUAAAUCCAAACUUGGCCACAAUCAUCUUUGGGGUAUCUAGUUUAAAAAAUGUGUGGCUUGACCCGGUCAACCAAUCAAGAUGGCCGCCACGGCUAAAAAUAAACAUAAGGGUAAAAUGCAGUUUUUGGCUUAUAACUCAAAAAACUAAAACAUUUAGAGAAAAUCUGACAUGGGGUGAAAUGUUUAUCAGGUCAAGAUCUAUCUGCCCUGAAAUUUUCAGAUGAAUCUGAAAAUUUAUUUUAUUUUUCCAGGCGCAUAGCUCCCUAUAGGCCAACACACAGGUGCUUGCACAUUGGCAUGCUGAACCAAAAAAAAAUAUAUUCACGAUUUUCAUCAUUCUUUGUUAAGAGUGUAUAAAAUGGAAUACAUUUCUACUUAAUACCAUCCAAUUAGCUAGCCUAAUUUAUUUUCAUCACUGCUAGAACAAACAACUGUCUGUGAACUCAAACGCAUUUUAUAAUACUUAAAUUAUUUUCAUUCUUCCUAAUAUUUUUUUUUUAUAUGCCCCGCCAAACGCGACGUCAUGUGAUAUUUAGGCUUAACCCACAUGUACGUUCUUACAUCUAUUAGACAUUGGUUUCCGCUCUCUUACUUUAGUUUACAUCAACCAAAUUUUACGAAACUUAUACACAGUGCUUGUUAACAAAAUACAGAUCAAGUUGAAAUUGGGGUACUGUCACUUUGGUUAUUCAAGAGUUAUAAAUGCAGAAAUCUGUUUCUGCUCUCAUUUAACUUCAGUUUGCCUCAACCAAAUGUUUCAAAUCUUAUAAACAAUGCUAAGUACCAUAAAACACAGAUCAAGUUAGUUUUGAAGCCAAUUGUAUGUUUUUCCAGGACGUCCUUUUUAUUUUUAUUUUUGGUCUUAAUUUAGUGUCUGGUUUAAUUGUUGAGCCUGCGACUUUUGUCGCAGAAAGCUCGACAUAGGGAUAGUGAUCCGGCGGCGGCGGUGUUAGCUCACUUCUUAAAAGCUUUAUAUUUUAGAAGGUGGGAGACCUGGAUGCUUCAUACUUUGUAUAUGGAUGCCUUAUGUUACAAAGUUUCUGUCAGUCACAUGUCCAAUGUCCUUGACCUCAUUUUCAUGGUUCGGUGACUACUUGAAAAAAAAGUUAAGAUUUUUUGUAAUGUUAAAUUCUCUCUUAAUAUUGUAAGUAAUAGGAUAACUAUAUUUGGUAUGUGCGUACCUUGCAAGGUCCUCUUGCCCGUCAGACAGUUUUCACUUGACCUCGACCUCAUUUCAUGGAUCAGUGAACAAGGUUAAGUUUUGGUGGUCAAGUCCAUAUCUGAGAUACUAUAAGCAAUAGGUCUAGUAUAUUUGGUGUAUGGAAGCACUGUAAGGUGAACAUGUCCAACUGGCAGGUGUGAUCUGACCUUGACCUCAUUUUCAUGGUUCAGUGGUUAUAGUUAAGUUUUUGUGUUUUGGUCUGUUUUUCUUAUACUGUAUGCAAUAGGUCUUCUAUAUUUUGUGUAUGUAAUGGUUGUAAGGUGUACAGGUCUACCUGGCAGGUGUCAUAUGACCUUGACCUCAUUUUGAUGGUUCAGUGGUCAAAGUUAAGUUUUUGAGUUUUGGCCUUUUUUUCUAAUACUAUAUGCAAUAGGUCAACUAUGUUUGGUGUAUGGAAAUAUUUUAUGACCUACCUGUCAGUCGCGCAGGUUUUAUUUGACCUUGACCUCAUUUUGUACGGUUCAUUGCUCAGUGUUAAGCUUUUGUGUUUUGGUCUGUUUUUCUAAAACUAUAAGCAACAAGUCAAUUUUAUUUGUUGUAUGGAAGAAUUGUUAGCUGUACAUGCCUACCUGGCAUGGUUCAUCUGACCUUGACCUCAUUUUCAUGGUUCAAAGGUCAAUGUUUAGUUUUCUUGGUUUAUGCUAAGUUUAUGUGACAGUUGUAAUAAAGCUUUAUUAUUAGGACUAUCAACAUAAUAUCAAUGAUUAGUAAAGAAGGCGAGACAUUCCAGUGUGUGCACUCUUGUUAAAAAAAAGUACGAUUCACAUCAAUCGCAAGUUUGCUCAAUGGACAAUACGCUAGUGUAUAACACUUUGCAAUCAUAUGCCAAUGUCGCUGUGUGAGACAAUCCAUGUGACAAGCCCAGUGCUGUAUCCUUCUGUAGAUACUAUUUAAUUUUAGUAUUGUGUUGACAACACAGAUAAUAAGUGCUGCAAAUUUUAUGGGGGGAGGGGGCUAGGAUGAAAUUUGAAAAAAUAUAAAAAGGCAGGACCAAACAGAGUGAAAAAUAAAAAGGCAGGACAGAGAUUACAUACAGCUAAUAAAAAAAGGCAGGACAAAAUUUUUCAUCCUAGCCCCCCAUAAAAAUCAAAUGGUAGCUCCCUUAUAUUCAUCUGGAUUAAAGCAACGGAGAAGUUUGUUCCUGUUAAGACCUGAAGAGCAUAUUUGAGGGUUUGGAUGGGGUUAAAUGAUUAAAGAAUAAUGCCCUUUAAAAAUGAAGAUUAGAGAAUAAAUGGCCAUAAAAAUGAAAAUGAGAGAAAAAAGGGGGUAAUUUUUUGAAGAUUAGAAAAAUGAAUUUUCUAUAAGUCCUAUGUAGCAUAACUUUCUUAUGACCGAAAACCAUAAAAAAAAAAUAAUUCUGCAUUAAAAACAGAUCCACAAAGUUUUUUGGCAUCGCUCUGCUGACAGAUGAUUCCACAUAAAUUAUCUUAGCUACAAGUUUGUACGCCCCUGUUUUCCAUCACUAAUAAGCGACAAGAAGAAGAAUUUAACGUUAAGAAGCACAAGAAAAUAAAUUAAGCGAUAACAAAGCUAAUAUUCUAUCAAUAUUAAAAUAUAAAUUUAUAGGAAAGUCAAUAUUUAUAUAAAGAGGGGAGCGCUCAUGAUCAGUAUUAAGAUAUUGACAAAUAUAAUGCCUACCCAGGUUAAAAUGAGCACAGAGAAUGGCAUGAAAGAAUUAUUUCUUAAUUAUGCAGGAUGUAACAUACAUUUACUAUAUGAGUAGUGGUAUUACCAGUAAUUACACCUGACCUGUAGCAAUUCUUAGUCUUAAUUUUCACAAUUUUUCUUUUAUAUAUUUUCAGUCAAUUAUUAGUUAGCUGAAUGUUAUGAAAUAAGACCCAUGGUUGACACUACCAAUUGACAAUAGACCGGUAAAAGAUGCCACCAAUUGACAACAGACCAGUAAAAGAUCCCACCAUUUGUCAACAGACCAGUUAAAGAUGUCCAUUUAUAGAUACAAAGAAAGAGAAAUAAAAGUAUAAUAUUGACAAAACAGUUGUUUGAUGGAAGUACAAACCAAUUCGAAAAGGUUUGAUAUUGGAUAAUAUAUAUAUCAUUAAAAAUAUUUCAACUGAUGGAAGUACAAAUCAAUGUGAAAGGUCUGAUAUUGGACUAUAUUUAAUAUAAAUAAGGCUAUGUAAACUAGAAGUUUUCUUGACUAGACUACAGAGGACUGAACACAGUCAUCCCAUGAGAUGUCAUGCUCAUGACAUUACAUGGGAAGCAUAUAGAUUAGAAAUUUCUGUUGUGGAGAAAGAAGUAAGGCAAAUAAAAGGAACACAUGCACAUUUAUAUAAGUGAUUAAAGUACAAUUUUACAGUAUGUAUCAGAGAAUUCAGCCGAAGGUAAAACCUUCAAAAGACACAAAAAUAGUUAUUGUUCAUAAACCUCAGACAUUUCAUGUAUGUGGUCAUUGUAAAGAAAGUUUCACAGAGAAAGAACACUUACAGAAUCAUAUAAGAAUACAUUUUGUCAAGAAACCUCAUAUAUGUGUUGUAUGUGGUGAAAGAUUUACUACUAAAGAGCAUUUACUGGAACACAGGAAAAAACAUAUUGCUGAUAUACCUUACACAUGUGCUGUGUGUGGUAAAAUUUUUAGAAUUACUGAACAAUAUCAGAAACACAUGAGAACACAUAUUGCUUAUAAACCUCCGGAUGAAAAGAUAACUGAGAAAGAACACUUACAGAAUCACAUGAGAACACAUAUUGCUUAUAAACCUCCAGAUGAAAAGAUGACUGAGAAAGAACACUUACAGAAUCACAUGAGAACACAUAUUGCUUAUAACCUCAGACGAAAGAUACUGGAAAGAACCUACGAACCAUGAGAACCAUAUCUCUAUAAACCUCCAGACGAAAAGAUAACUGAGAAGAACACAAUUACAGAGUCACAUGAGAACACAUAUUGCUUAUAAACUCCAGAUGAAAGAUGACUGAGAAAGAACACUUACAGAAUGUCACAUGAGAACACAUUUGCUUAAACCUCCAGAUAAAGAGAUGAGAAAGAACACUUACAGAAUCACAUGAGAACACAUAUUGCUUAUAAACCUUACAGAAUCAGACGCUUAUAAAGAUGAAAGAUACGUGAGAAAGAACACUUACAGAAUCACAUGAGAUCCAUAUUGUUAACAAUCACAUGUGUGUUGUAUGUCAUGAAAAGUUUACUAAGAAAAAGGAACUUACUAAUCACAUGAGAAUACAUAUUGUUAAUGAAACUCACACGUGUGUUGUAUGUCAUGAAAAGUUUACUAAGAAAAAGGAACUUACUACUCACAUGAGAAUACAUAUUAUCUAUAAGCCUCAUACAUGUACUGUAUGUCAUGAAAAGUUCACUAAGAAAGAGCACUUGGAGGAACACAUAAACACCCAUAUUGUUGACAAACCUCACACAUGUACUGUGUGUGGUGAAAAGUUUACAACUAAUGAUCAUAUGCAGGAACACAUGAGAACACAUAGUGUUCAAUAAACUACAUGCAUGUAUUGUAUGCAAUGAAUCGUUUACUAAGAAAGAGGACUUGCAAGAGCACACAAGAAAACAUAUUAUUAAUAAACCCCACACAUGUAAUGUGUGCGGUAAAAUUUUUACUGACAUACAACACCUAAAAGACCACCAGGAGACACACAUUGUUUAUAAACCACAUACAUAUAUUUUAUGUGAUGAAAAGUUUACCAUGUUCACUCCACACGUACAGCUUCCAAUAAGAACACAUAUCAUUAAAAAACCAUACACAUGUGCUGUGUGUGGUGAAAAAUUUACAGACAAACAACACCUACAGGACCACACGAGAACACACGUUGAUAGACCUUAUAAUUGUGUUUUAUGUGGUUUAGGGUUUGAUCGAAGUGAUUUAUUUGAAUCACACAUGAGCACACACGCUGAUUUCAUAUCUUAUCUGUGUGAUGUGUGUGGACUAGGAUUUAAAAGUAAACUGCAAUUUCAGAAACACACAAGAAAUCAUAAAGCUAGACAGUGCAAUAUAUGUGGUAAACGAUUUCAUGAUUCCUACUACUUACAGAAACACAUGAGACAACACAGUGACGAGAAACCACACAAGUGUGAGUUUUGUGGAAAGGAGUUUAAGUUAUCGUUUUUCUUAAAAACACACAUGAGAACACAUACUGGAGAAAAACCGUAUCAAUGUGAUCUGUGUGGUAAAGUGUUCAGCGAAAGUCAAGGUGUUGAAAAGACAUAUGAUAUCACAUACUGAUGAUAAAAUUAUAAAUGUGAUAUGUGUGGUAAAAGUUAUGGUGAAAAGAUGAUUUAAAGAGACAUUUGUCAUUACAACGGGUGAGAAACCUUAUCACUGUCAGUCAUGUGGUAAAAGUUUCAGAUUAGAAAAAUACUUACAAAAGCAUGAAAUGAGAACACACAAUGGGGAUAAACCGUACACUUGCAGGGCAUGUGGCAAAGGAUUUGGUCAGAAACAUGCCUUGGAGAGACACAUAAGAACUCAUACACAUAGAUUAGAUAAACCAGUAAGAACUUAUACACAUAAUGAUGACAAACCUUAUAAGGUGCAGUGUUGGUCAAGGGUUGUGUAGUAAAGACACUCUAGGGUUGCACAUGAAAUUACACACUGGUGAUGGUAUGCAUAAAUGUGAUGUAUGCGGUAAACAGUUUAAUAGGAAACAUAACCUACGAACUCAUUCGAAAAGACAUUCUGGAAAUCUUCGACACUGUAGUAUUUGUGGCAAAGGAUUUGUUACAGAUUACAACUUACAAAGACACAAAAAAACACAUGAUAAUGAUAAGCGUUGGAAAUUUGAUGUUUGCUAAUUUUACGGAUGUAAUAUAUGCUUGAAAUUUGAUGUUUGCUAAUUUUACGAAUGUAAUAUAUCCUUGAAACUUGAUAUUUGCUAAUUGUACGAUUGUAAUACAAUUAAUGUUCGAAACUUGAUGUUUGUGAAUUGUAUGGUGAUGGUGAUAAAGUUAGAAACUAAAUGUUUGUGAAUUGAAGAUAGUGAUAAGAACGAAC